rnacentral:rRNA from 1 species
AUGGAAUACCUUGAGGAGCGCCCCAUCUCCCUGUGGACUGAGAAGACCACCGAGAAGGAGCAGUUCGGUGUUGCUUCUACCACAUUUCCCUUGCCGAGAGGGUCGUCGUCAGCACGAAGCACAACAACGACGAGCAGUACAUGUGGGAGUCCCAGGCUGGUCGUUCUUUCACCGUCACUUGUGAUACGUCUGGGGAGCAGCUCGAUAGGGGUACCAAGAUGGUCCUCUACCUCAAGGACGACCAUGUAUGCAGUCCAAGCCUCCUAUACAGUGAUUGGUUUACUCUUCAUGUUGUGGUUCUGUGCUUAG